GUCGGCUGUGCUUCUUCCCCUUGUCUACAUGGUGCGACCUGCACGGACGUGGCCGAUUCUUACACCUGCGCAUGCGUGGCUGGAUGGGAAGGAAAUGACUGUGAAACAGACAAGAACGAGUGCGACACAGUCAUCUGCAACUCUGGCUAUGUGUGCGUGAAUCAUCCCGGUUACUACGCCUGCCUUCCUCAAGCUUUGAAUGUGAGCAGCAGAAAUCGUAACCGAUCUGUUUGCGGUCCAGAGUCGUGUAAAGACGGCUGGUCCUGUACGGUCCGUGGGUUUGGCUACGCCUGCCACCCGAACCUGUAGGGCUGAUACCGCAAUCAGUCCUCGAUAGGAAAGCAUGUUAAAAUGCACUAACUUCAAUUUCAAUCUUAGAAUUUUUUUUCUCCACCAGACAGUCACAAGCUUAAGGGUCAUGUUUAUAAUCAUUAAAAAAAGGGUCAAACUCCAAGGAAUCCAUUUCAUCCGUCCGGUCAAUCCAUUUGGCUGAAGUAAAAUAGGACGUUACCUGGAUAAAACACACA